AUUUCGCCAUGUUUUCGUUGUUCCUUUAAACCUGUCGUCCUUCUUGAUACAGAGAAUGCAUCAAUCAUGUGCCUACUAAAAACAUUUAUCUUAUCUUAUCUUAUCUUACUAUAUAUAAAAGUUACUCCCCUAGGAAACCGUGUAAGAGCCAAAAACUCCCGCUCAAAAAAGUCAUCGUAUUAGUUUAUAUAUAAUCCAGCUGUAGCCAAGUAAAAUAUAUAUAAACAAUUAAUGCGGCACAAAGCUCAAUGCAUGGGGAAUAUAAAAAAAUUUAGGGAGUAGACUUUUUGGCUUCCAGCAUUGGGGAAUAUAAAGAAGACUACAGGAUUCCCAAAAAUUAUCUAUCCAUUUCUUAUCUUCAAAAUCAAUUCAACCAAGAGCAUACAUUUUUUUGAAAGCCACUCAGGAGCAUACUAAAUCUCUUAAAAGCCUCUCUCAUUUGGUUCAAGAACACAAGUCGUGUAGAAUGAGAAAAAUAACAACUUCGGCAGUGAUAAGAAGAAAGAGGAAGCCACAAUCUACUCCAAAUCCAGAGAGCAAGAAAUCUAUAGAAAUUAGAAGAUCGAUGCUAAAUUCAAGGAAAAAAAAUAAAUCACCUGGUGGCUGGUGGUUCACGUCGAUGGAGCUGCUGACGUGCUUUGUUGCCGUGUUGGUCGUGGCUCGCUGGGAGAACUGGAGAAGGUCGCUAUUGACGCUGUUGAACCGGAGAAGUUCGCCGGCCGUGAAGAGCUGGUCGUGGAGAGUGGGCGGUCGGCGGUCGCUCAGCGGUGGAACCUAAGCAGAAAUAAGCCACGUAGGGCUGAAUGGGGGAAAAUAGGUCGCUGGGCGAUGGUCGGUGUGUGUCAGCGGUGGAACCUAAGCAGAAAUAAGCCACGUAGAGCAGAAGUAAUAUUUUUAGCAGUAAACCUAUUUAUUAUUGUAAUUAUUAUUAUUAUUUGUUUUAAUCACUUUCAGGUUUCAACAAGUUUACUUCCAACAGGUUUCAAAAACA